GGAAGGUAUUGCAGGUAGUCUUGCCUAAGGAAAGGUGUGUUUAAUAGUGGCAAGAAAGCCUCUUGUCCCUUCUGAACUGGUUAUAGCUGUAGACUAUGGAGCCCAGAUCACAGGAUAUGAAGCAUUUGAGAGCUUGAUCAUCCCUAUUAGGACUUCCAAGUGUGGACCUCACUGAAGAAUCCAACCCCUCAUUCUACCUUGCUGAGGAAGGCUGAUACCUAUAACCCAGCUAUUUCUGUAUUGCCAACCUGCUGGUCUGUCUGAGACCUUUAAACACAAGUGGGAG
rnacentral:lncRNA from 1 species